rnacentral:rRNA from 1 species
AAUGAGAGGCAGGCGACCACGGUGGGCUUAGCGACUGGGGUGAAGUCGUAACAAGGUAGCCGUAGGGGAACCUGCGGCUGGAUCACCUCCUUUCUAAGG